ACACCUUGAGAGUGGGCUCAAGGACUGCUCUCUCAAAGUCCUCUGAAAAGGAGCACCAAGAAUAGAAAAAAGGCAUGGUUGGCUACAGCCCACGCUCCAGCUAUCCAGACUAAAUGGAUGGCAGCCAGCUCUGUGCCAGCCUCAUCAUCAGAGACACCUUAGGUGUAUGAGAC